ACAGAGGUCCCAAGCGUUACUGAGAAUCACUGGGUUUAAAGGGUGCGUAGGUGGUCCGUUAAGUUCGUUGUGAAAUCCCUGGGCUCAACCCAGGAACUGCUUCGAAUACUGGCGGACUUGAGGCCGGUAUAGGUCACUGGAACAGAUGGUGGAGCGGUGAAAUGCGUAGAUAUCAUCUGGAACGCCGGUGGUGAAGACGGGUGACUGGGCCGGUUCUGACACUGAGGCACGAAAGCAUGGGGAGCGAACGG
rnacentral:rRNA from 1 species